rnacentral:rRNA from 1 species
UAAAAAUAGAUUAAAUUUAAUUUGUUUAUUAAAUUUACUUGUAAAAAGUUUAUCAAAAGCUUAGGUUUAUAAUUUAAUCUGAUUUCUGCCCUAUGAAUUUUAAAUGGCCGUGGUAUUUUGACCAUGCGAAGGUAGCAAAAUCAUUAGUGUUUUAAUUGAAGGCUGGAAUGAAUGGAUUAAUUACUAGUAAAGUUACAAUUUAUAUAAAUUGAAUUUAAAUUAAUAGUGAAAAUUCUAUUAGAUUUUGUAAGACGAGAAGACCCUAAAAUUUUAUUUUAAUUAUUUAAGAAGAAAAAAUUAAAAUUUAAUUGGGGUAAUUAUUUGAAAUUACAAAUAAAUUUUUAUGAAAGAACUAAUUUUUUAGUGUUUGAUAAAAUACUUUAGGGAUAACAGCGUAAUUAAUUUAUUUAGAUCUUAUAUAUAAAUUAGAUUGCGACCUCGAUGUUGGUUUAAAAGAUCUUUUUAGUGCAGUAGCUAAAAAAGAAAGUCUGUUCGACUUUUAAAAUUUUACUUGAACUGAGUUCAAAUCGGUGUAAGCCAGAUUGGUUUUUAUCUACAAAUUAUUUUAAUUAUAUUAGUACGAAAGGAUUUUAUAAUUUAAAAGAUUUAAACUUAAGGAAGUUUUAGAACUUAAAAAUAAAAU